UGUCCGGAAUUAUUGGGCGUAAAGAGCUCGUAGGCGGUUUGUCGCGUCUGCUGUGAAAUCCCGAGGCUCAACCUCGGGCUUGCAGUGGGUACGGGCAGACUAGAGUGCGGUAGGGGAGAUUGGAAUUCCUGGUGUAGCGGUGGAAUGCGCAGAUAUCAGGAGGAACACCGAUGGCGAAGGCAGAUCUCUGGGCCGUAACUGACGCUGAGGAGCGAAAGCAUGGGGAGCGAACAGGAUUAGAUACCCUGGUAGUCCAUGCCGUAAACGUUGGGCGCUAGAUGUAGGGACCUUUCCACGGUUUCUGUGUCGUAGCUAACGCAUUAAGCGCCCCGCCUGGGGAGUACGGCCGCAAGGCUAAAACUCAAAGGAAUUGACGGGGGCCCGCACAAGCGGCGGAGCAUGCGGAUUAAUUCGAUGCAACGCGAAGAACCUUACCAAGGCUUGACAUACACCGGAAACGGCCAGAGAUGGUCGCCCCCUUGUGGUCGGUGUACAGGUGGUGCAUGGUUGUCGUCAGCUCGUGUCGUGAGAUGUUGGGUUAAGUCCCGCAACGAGCGCAACCCUCGUUCUAUGUUGCCAGCGGGUUAUGCCGGGGACUCAUAGGAGACUGCCGGGGUCAACUCGGAGGAAGGUGGGGAUGACGUCAAAUCAUCAUGCCCCUUAUGUCUUGGGCUUCACGCAUGCUACAAUGGCCGGUACAAAGGGCUGCGAUACCGUAAGGUGGAGCGAAUCCCAAAAAGCCGGUCUCAGUUCGGAUUGAGGUCUGCAACUCGACCUCAUGAAGUCGGAGUCGCUAGUAAUCGCAGAUCAGCAACGCUGCGGUGAAUAC
rnacentral:rRNA from 1 species